UACGUAGGGUGCUAGCGUUGUUCGGAAUCAUUGGGCGUAAAGCGCGUGUAGGCGGUUAGUUAAGUCGGGUGUGAAAUCCCUGGGCUCAACCGAGGAAGUGCAUCCGAAACUAAUUAGCUAGAGAGUGGUAGAGGAAGGUGGAGUUCCUAGUGUAGAGGUGAAAUUCGUAGAUAUUAGGAGGAAUACCGGUGGCGAAGGCGGCCUUCUGGACCAUAUCUGACGCUGAGCCGCGAAAGCGUGGGGAGCAAACAGG
rnacentral:rRNA from 1 species